ACAAGUACCGUGAGGGAAAGUUGCAAAGUACUUUGAAGAGAGAGUUCAAGAGGACGUGAAACCGAUAGGAUGGAAGCAGAUGAAGUUGACGAACGAGUGUCGUAUUCAGGGCCGCAUCUUGUGUGCGGUCUGUUCUUGCGACCGACGUGGGCUGGCGGCCUUGGUCAAUGCACUGUGUCAAGCGUCGAUGGUGACCCUGCGGAGGGACCGUCGGUCGGCGUACGAUGCGUGGUAUGGCUAAGGUUCGCGCCGGUCUUGAAGUCAGCGCCUCAUCUGACCCGUCUUGAAACACGGACCAAGGAGUGUAGCGUUUACGCAAGUCUUAGAGUGUAUCAAAACUUUGAGGCGCAACGAAAGUAAAGGUGGCUUUAGCUGCUGACUUGGGAUGCGCUGUCUCCUGUGGACGGCGCUGGACCAUGGUUAUAUCGCGAUCGCUUGCGAUGCGGUGUAAAUAGAGCGUAAACGGUGCGACCCGAAAGAUGGUGAACUAUGCCUGAGCAGGAUGAAGCCGGAGGAAACUCUGGUGGAAGUCCGAAGCGGUUCUGACGUGCAAAUCGAUCGUCUGACUUGGGUAUAGGGGCGAAAGACUAAUCGAACCAUCUAGUAGCUGGUUCCUUCCGA
rnacentral:rRNA from 1 species